rnacentral:rRNA from 1 species
CACGUAGGGGGCGAGCGUUGUCCGGAUUUAUUGGGCGUAAAGCGCACGUAGGCGGAUCGUUAAGUCGGGGGUGAAAUCCUGGAGCUCAACUCCAGAAUUGCCUUCGAUACUGUAGAGCUUGAGACCGGAAGAGGUAAGUGGAACUGCGAGUGUAGAGGUGAAAUUCGUAGAUAUUCGCAAGAACACCAGUGGCGAAGGCGGCUUACUGGUCCGGUUCUGACGCUGAGGCGCGAAAGCGUGGGGAGCAAACAGG